AAAGCGCCCCAAGCCCAGCAG
rnacentral:misc_RNA from 1 species